rnacentral:rRNA from 1 species
UCGCAUGGUGUUCUGGGAAAGCCUUUGCGGCAUGGGAUGGGGUCGCGUCCUAUCAGCUUGAUGGCGGGGUAACGGCCCACCAUGGCUUCGACGGGUAGCCGGCCUGAGAGGGCGACCGGCCACAUUGGGACUGAGAUACGGCCCAGACUCCUACGGGAGGCAGCAGUGGGGAAUAUUGCACAAUGGGCGCAAGCCUGAUGCAGCGACGCCGCGUGAGGGAUGGAGGCCUUCGGGUUGUAAACCUCUUUUGUUAGGGAGCAAGGCAUUUUGUGUUGAGUGUACCUUUCGAAUAAGCACCGGCUAACUACGUGCCAGCAGCCGCGGUAAUACGUAGGGUGCAAGCGUUAUCCGGAAUUAUUGGGCGUAAAGGGCUCGUAGGCGGUUCGUCGCGUCCGGUGUGAAAGUCCAUCGCUUAACGGUGGAUCCGCGCCGGGUACGGGCGGGCUUGAGUGCGGUAGGGGAGACUGGAAUUCCCGGUGUAACGGUGGAAUGUGUAGAUAUCGGGAAGAAC